rnacentral:rRNA from 1 species
GACGAACGCUGGCGGCGUGCUUAACACAUGCCAGUCGAACGGAAAGGCCUUUUCGGAGGUACUCGAGUGGCGCACGGGUGAGUAACACGUGGGUGAUCUGCCCUGCACUCUGGGAUAAGCCUGGGAAACUGGGUCUAAUACCGGAUAGGACCGCACUUUAGUGUGUGUGGUGGAAAGUUUUUUCGGUGUAGGAUGAGCCCGCGGCCUAUCAGCUUGUUGGUGGGGUAAUGGCCUACCAAGGCGGCGACGGGUAGCCGGACUGAGAGGUUGGUCGGCCACAUUGGGACUGAGAUACGGCCCAGACGCCUACGGGAGGCAGCAGUGGGGAAUAUUGCACAAUGGGCGCAAGCCUGAUGCAGCGACGCCGCGUGGGGGAUGACGGCCUUCGGGUUGUAAACUCCGUUCGCCAGGGACGAAGCGUUUUGUGACGGUACCUGGAGAAGAAGCACCGGCUAACUACGUG